rnacentral:rRNA from 1 species
UACGGGGGGGGCAAGCGUUGUUCGGAAUUACUGGGCGUAAAGGGCUCGUAGGCGGCCAACUAAGUCAGACGUGAAAUCCCCAGGCUCAACCUGGGAACUGCGUCCGAUACUGGCAGGCUUGAAUCCGGGAGAGGGAUGUGGAAUUCCAGGUGUAGCGGUGAAAUGCGUAGAGAUGCGGAGGAACACCGAUGGCGAAGGCAGCCCCCUGGGCCGACACUGACGCUCAGGCACGAAAGCGUGGGGAGCAAACAGG